UACGGAGGGGGCUAGCGUUGUUCGGAAUUACUGGGCGUAAAGCGCACGUAGGCGGCUUUGUAAGUUAGAGGUGAAAGCCCAGGGCUUAACCCUGGAAUUGCCUUUAAGACUGCAUCGCUAGAAUCGUGGAGAGGUAAGUGGAAUUCUCGGAGUAGCGGUAAAAUGCGUAGAUCUCGAGAGGAACACCGAUGGCGAAGGCAGCUUCUUGGUCCAUACCUGACGUUCAUGCACGAAAGCGUGGGGAGCAAACAGG
rnacentral:rRNA from 1 species